UCACUGUGUACAACAGUGUACUCCAUGCUGAGCUGGGACAUUCACACAGCAGGCAGCAGCAGCUGGAGAGCCGAGGAGAGGAGAGGGAGGGGCAGAGCCAGGAUGGGAGAUAGGACAGAGGAGCGGUCCUAGAGCCCGUCGGAUUUCCUGAAAAAACUUCAGCUCAGCCGUCAGCCGCACACACACUCGGCUCUCCAGUCCCCCUGCAGAGUCUGCGAGCUGACACCGCCCACACAUUUCGUCACUACACGCUGAGGAAUUGGGAGGAGGGAGCAGCGAAGCAGGCAGCCAGCAGCUGAAAAAAAAAGGAAACUGUAAGAACACUUACCGAAGGGGUCCCUCGGCGCGGCAUCUCCCGGUGGCUCUGACAUCAAAGGCGCAGACACGUGCAACAAGGAGCACAUUCUGACUGACGCCGGCGCAUGUGUUAUGGCACUAAACGUUGUGACGCUGGCAUUUUUAUGCAGUCGUUCUGACGCUGGCGAAGUGGCGCCAAGGCCCAAGUACCUCAAUUCUGUUUAGCCUCACUGGCUUCUCUCCACUCACGGCUCCCCCUGUAUCAUCCCCAGGUGGGUUCUGUGUUGUGUGAGCCUCUUUGAGGUCCUUGUCAUCUAGAAGAGAUCCAUCGUCUGAUUCUCCGCUUGCAUGAACAGCGGAAUCGGAAAGCUUUGGAAGUUUUUUUCUGGAGGGAGACAAAGUACACCAAAAAACGGGGAGAAAUAUGACAAGGAACAGAGACCGCCAUGUAUGAAUUACAAGUGGCAAGACAGGGAGCGACAAGGAUUGGAAAAAGAAGAAAGAGGAUCGGAGAUACACUCUGAGGGAUCGAAUGAACAAGAAACGGGGUGUAAUGUAUUGAACUUUUUGGACGUUGCAUUAACUAAAGCACAAAUGUCCCUUUAAGGAAAGGGCUUAUCCUUCAGCCCAACUUAUAAUUUUGAGGUAAAUACAGGCACAGAUAAGGAUACUGAAGUUGGUGAGUCUCUUGUGCACAGGUCAGGGGAAGCAGAGUAUAAAGCAGAGGAAAUCUGACUUCUAUCCAGUUAAUAGUCAAUGGGAACUGGUUGAUAUAUUUCAGGACAUGGUGGAAAAGCAUUUAAUUAAACUAUGGGAAGAACACUGAUACCCUAUAGGUCAGGUAAUCUCACGAUUGAUCAGAGAAAGGAAAUUGUCCCAUCACUAUUGGCAGUUGAAGCUUAAUAGGUGCUUUUAGUACCCUCUUAUGUGCAAAGCAAGAUUUGCAUACAGUAUGUCUGUACAAUGUAAUUAAAUGUGGAUAUUUUUUACUUUA